rnacentral:lncRNA from 1 species
CCACUAGUCACAACUCAACUUUUAAGGAGAAGGUUUUGAAAGUGCUAGAAUGAUUAGAAGUCAACACCCAGAUCUCUAACUCCUACACACAAUCCUUUGCUAAGCUAGAGACCCAAAUAGGUCAACUAGCAACUGCAUUCAGAAGGAGGGAAGGAGAAAAAUUACCUAGCCAACUUGAGAGCAACCCAAGAGGAAAAUUCAUGAUUAAGAGCUCCAAUGCUCCAGAAAUCUUUUCUGAACACGCCAAAU